UAUAUCAUUUUUAUUUUUUAUUUGCUACGUUUUUAUCGCAACAUUACAAUCACAGUUUGUAAACAGUAAUAUUUUGUCGGUAAUAAUAAAACUGAUGCAUGCUAUUUGAUCACAAUUAGCAACUCAACAACUGCUAAUCAUGUAUGUUUAAAGAUAAACAUUUUCGUUCAACAGACAUGAGUAACUAAUAUGCAGAGGUAGAUUGAGUAAAAAUGUAAUUAUAUAAAAAGUUAUAGUUAAAGUUAGGCCUUAUAGUAAUAACUGCUUGAGUAAAAGUAAAAGUAUGCAAUGGAAAAACUGCUUAAGUAGUGAGUUUAUAAUUCGUGUUGGUGUGGUUUAUAAUAAUUAACUACAUGAAAAUGCUUAGAACUGAUUAUAAAAGGUAAAAUAGCACAUUUAAAGUAGGUGCUUUCAAAAUUAUUACUCAAGUCAAUGUAAAGCAGUAAGCAUGUUUCUACCCACCUCUGCAGAAAAAACAUUAAUAAUUUCAUACCUUAAAAUGCCAAGUUAUGUUAAAUAAGAGAUGUGCUGUAUAAAAAGUUUUAAGUUUAUAGAGUGAAUGCUAAAAAUGUUGUUUUUACAAUUGCUUUUUAGUAUCUAUCAAUCAAUAUACUAUGUUAAUUGUAUAUUAUUAUUAUUUAGCAGGAGCUUGUUUCUUUGAAGAGAGCGCAUACCCUUCAUGGAAAGUCAGUAACGUUACUGUGGAGUACAACCAAGUCGCAAGCAAAAACUUCAAGCAAGAAUUGUUCUCAUCUCUUGCUAAACACGGUUUUAGAAGAUUUUGAAUGAAAGAAAAGUUUAAAAGCUCUCUUGAGUAUCUAAUAAACAUCACUGAUGACAGUGCUCGGUGGACGGUAGUUCUCUGUGGUCUUGCUAUCCUUCUUGCAGAAGACACUACAGACUUCCUGAAAACAAACAUGGUUAGUAUUCUUCUCGUUUAAUUAAUAUGAGAUGUCCUAAUUUUUGUGUUAGCAUUUAAUUAGCAUUAUUAAAGAAAUAAUGUGUAAAUAGAAGAUAAUUAAAGGCACCAAGGCACAUCCUUUUGUCCCACAAUUCUAUGCGUGAGCAUGCUCAGGAUUGGUCGAGCCUGGUUGAGUUCGAUAAAAUAAAAUGGUGGGCAAGAAAGCAACUGAGCACACAUUUAGUGUAAAUAAAGUAAUAUUUUCACUUUUGGUUGCAUUUCUAGCGAGAAAUUUGUAUUGUAGUUUUGAACUCUUUCCCCGCCAUUGAGUUAUUCCGUCAAUUAAGAGAAUCAAUAACUUCUGAUAAAUGCUGUGAAUAAAUGAAAACAUAAUUUAUUUGCCAGGUAAAGGUUUUAUGCCAAUUACAUAACCAAUUCAAAAAUUAUAAAGAAAGCAAAAAAUCAAAUAUUUAAAGAUCAAUCUGAGAUGUAUACCUGACAGUAGCGAAAUACAUCAACAUGACACUAUGGGUUUUGGUUUAUCGCAUUAUGAGUGAACAAAGCUUAAUACAGGUGUUAACAGUGUGUAAACCGUUUUGAGCUGUCCACUUUCGACUACAUUCAGAUGUAUUCAAAACAGUUUAGAACCGCUUAAACACGCUGUAACCCGUAUGCUGGAAAUAAUUUUGACAGGUACAGUUUAAUAAUACACAAAAUUAAAUCAAAUGUCUUUUAAUAACAUAUGAUG